rnacentral:rRNA from 1 species
GACGAACGCUGGCGGCGUGCUUAACACAUGCAAGUCGAGCGGUAAGGCCCUUUCGGGGGUACGACGAGCGGCGAACGGGUGAGUAACACGUGGGUGACCUGCCCUCCAGCUCUGGGAUAAGCCUGGGAAACCGGGUCUAAUACCGGAUAUGACUCCAUGACGCAUGUUGGUGGGGUGGAAAGCCUUGUGCGGCUGAGGAUGGGCCCGCGGCCUAU